rnacentral:rRNA from 1 species
GAUGAACGCUGGCGGCGUGCCUAAUACAUGCAAGUCGAGCGAACAGAUGAGAAGCUUGCUUCUCUGAUGUUAGCGGCGGACGGGUGAGUAACACGUGGGUAACCUACCUAUAAGACUGGGAUAACUCCGGGAAACCGGGGCUAAUACCGGAUAAUAUUUUGAACCGCAUGGUUCAAUAGUGAAAGACGGUUUCGGCUGUCACUUAUAGAUGGACCCGCGCCGUAUUAGCUAGUUGGUAAGGUAACGGCUUACCAAGGCGACGAUACGCAGCCGACCUGAGAGGGUGAUCGGCCACACUGGAACUGAGACACGGUCCAGACUCCUACGGGAGGCAGCAGUAGGGAAUCUUCCGCAAUGGGCGCAAGCCUGACGGAGCAACGCCGCGUGAGUGAUGAAGGUCUUCGGAUCGUAAAACUCUGUUGUUAGGGCAGAACAAAUUUGUUAGUAACUGAACAAGUCUUGACGGUACCUAACCAGAAAGCCACGGCUAACUACGUGCCAGCCGCCGCCGUAA